GUGGGGAAUUUUGCACAAUGGGGGAAACCCUGACGCAGCAACGCCGCGUGGAGGAUGAAAUCCCUUGGGAUGUAAACUCCUUUCGAUCGGGACGAUUAUGACGGUACCGGAAGAAGAAGCCCCGGCUCACUUCGUGCCCGCAGCCGCGGUAAUACGAGGGGGGCAAGCGUUGUUCGGAAUUAUUGGGCGUAAAGGGCGCGUAGGCGGUUUGACAAGUCUGAUGUGAAAUCUCUGGGCUCAACCCAGAGUCUGCAUUAGAAACUGUCGAGCUUGAGUAUGGGAGAGGUGAGUGGAAUUUCCGGUGUAGCGGUGAAAUGCGUAGAUAUCGGAAGGAACACCUGUGGCGAAAGCGGCUCACUGGACCAUAACUGACGCUGAGGCGCGAAAGCUAGGGGAGCAAAC
rnacentral:rRNA from 1 species